UACGUAGGGUGCGAGCGUUGUCCGGAAUUAUUGGGCGUAAAGAGCUUGUAGGUGGUUUGUCGCGUCUGCUGUGAAAAUCCGAGGCUCAACCUCGGACUUGCAGUGGGUACGGGCAGACUAGAGUGUGGUAGGGGAGACUGGAAUUCCUGGUGUAGCGGUGGAAUGCGCAGAUAUCAGGAGGAACACCGAUGGCGAAGGCAGGUCUCUGGGCCAUUACUGACACUGAGAAGCGAAAGCA
rnacentral:rRNA from 1 species